UUAGCUAGCGACACCCAUGCCAAUGUCGAUCGAAGUCGAGGACGCGGAGGUCGUCGAGCUAGCACCGCCUGGACGCAGGUGAGGUGCGCGACCUGCAGGAGCACCGGGGACAUCUUCGGUCCAUCCAUGUAGCCGAGGAGGACGACCUCCGCGUCCUCCUCGGCUAGAUGCAUGCAUGGACGCUGCGCUCACGCCCAUCUCGUCCAGCCUCGCCGACCCGGCUCUCCUCCUCUCCAUCAAGCUAGGGCGCCGCUAUCGUACGUGCGCCAGACGGCUACAUGCAUGACGCUGCGGUCGGUGCGGAACGCCUACGCCAUGGGCAAGGUGCGGAUGGUGGCCACGCUAUCGUUAAGAACCGCGGACCCAGCAGCCGCGGUCGAGCAGGGCAGAUUCGUGCUUUGGACCAUGCAUGGCGCCCGGCAUGUGGUACGUCGAGGUCGCCGUCGGCUGGCGUACAUGUAUUCUAAAAUCUAUGACAGAACGACGACGGAGCACGAUCGAUGGGCAGAAGAAGCUGGCACUGUGGCAGGCCGGCCAUUGUGUCCCUGAGCAAGGGAAAUAGCUAGCGGCGCGAUGGUGCUUCCAGAUGCAUGCUCUCUCCGGCGGUGCAGAUGCCAAUGUCAGCAGCGGCGUUCUAGACAUCUGCUCUCUCCAAUCGUUCGGGAAGGCCGAAGGUGUAGGCAUGGCAUAGGUAAGGCCAGGCCUUUUAUUUUUGCCGUAUAACUAUAUAGGCCUGUACCAAAAUUUGGGGCCCCCAAAAAAAUUGGGCCCUGUGCGGCCGCACACUUUGCACUCCUGCCGGCCCGGGCCUGGACAUGCCAGCCAAACAGGACAGCUUGCGUGAGGGAGAAAUGUCUUCCAUGCUAUUGCAUGCGGCUCCACUUCUGGCGUUUGCACUUUGCAGAGUGAAUUUAUUUAAUUCAUGGUCCACCAUCAGAGAUGUAUUUUCAUACGUACUCAAAACAUGACAGCGGUUGUUUAGCAGCAAUAGUGAUGAAUUGGUGGAGGUUGGUGAUGGUGUAAGGAGUAAGGUGCUGAGCUGCUGCGUGCUGUUCGUGCUGCUGCAGUUGGAGAGGCUGCUCACGCUACAAGGAAAUGGCAGAAAGAUCGUUGCUCAGUAGGGACGUUGAGAAGGCGCACCGUGCGGCGAAGCUAGAGGCAAGCCCUAAUAGCCUCCCCACACUGGUGACACGCGGGGCUAAUCAAAAUUGGCAGAUACACCCGGUUGGGUUGAGAGGUUGAAGUGGGCUGGACUUCUACCUUUCCCGCGGUUGGUUGAGGCCACUAUAUCGGAGGUCAUCGGUGAGCGAGUAGGCACGCCGAUCAAGCGCCUUCAGUAUGACCACUCCCUGCUAACCAGCCUGGUGGAUCGGUGGAGACCCGAAACUCACACGUUCCACUUUCGCUGGGGAGAGAUGGCCCAUACUCUCCAGGACGUGUCUUUCUUACUGGGCCUACCGUUGGCGGGUCAGGCCACAGGCCCCCUGGCAGAACCAACGGAUUAGGAUGAUGAAAUGGCUGCACGUUUUCAGGGAACUCGUGCGGGUCAGCCUGAUUUUCUCUAUGAGGACCAUGGCCCAGAGUGUGACUGGUUACUCAACUUCGAGGCUCCUUUCAUGGGAGGAGGAGGAUACAGGCAGGGAUACACGCAGCAGACUGCUUCCAAUCCUUCAUGAGGAGCUAGUGAUCAGGAUGCUGAGCACAUGAAGUAUUACAUCACGCAGCAGAACUAUGUCGAUAUGCAGACUCCUCCACCAGAGCCCAUACAGGAGACGCAGUACGACCCCGAGUCCGGGUCCUGGAUCCCUGCUCGCAUCAUCAGACCCCCGGACAGGUUCGGUUGGACACCCCGUGCUACGCCACCCGCACGAUAGCUCAGACGCCAUCCAUAGUAUCAGACAUUUAUGUAUGCAUGACCUAUGUAUCUGACAUUUAUGUAUGCAUCACCUAUGUAUCAGACAUUUAUGUAUGCAUUACCAAUGUAUCUAACAUUUAUGUAUGCAUCACCUAUGGUUCGGCUAACUGACACAAUUAUUUUCUGCAGGUACUAUAGCGGAAUUUAAAAAUGGC